GUGAGUGGGAGGAGCCUUCGUCCCUGUUUUCCGCAUCGAUUUCCUGCUGAAGGCAAUAGCGUUCGUCGCUCGUCAUGUCUGCUGCAAAGUAAUCGAAAUGGAAUCGCGCUGUUCGGACACGGAUAGCGAGGAGCAGCAGCAGGAACCUCUUCUUCACCGCGGACGAAAGGACAAGAUCCAGCCGGCUCCAGCAUGUUGCUCGGCACGCUACAGCCUGGCCCUGCUGUCCUGCUUCGGUUUCUUCGUGGUCUACGCACUGCGUGUCAAUCUGAGUGUGGCCAUGGUGGACAUGCUCAACACCACCAAACAAGAGCAACACAACCACAGCGGCUCCGUGUGUGCUGCCCAUCCCAGCCCGGCGCGGCCCAAACACAACCACACUGCCAGCCUGUACGACUGGGACUCUGAGACGCAAGGCUGGAUCCUGGGCUCGUUCUUCUAUGGCUACAUCCUGACCCAGAUCCCCGGGGGUUACCUGGCGGGCCGCUUGGGGGCCAAGUGGCUGCUGGGUUUGGGCACCCUGGUGACGGUGGUGUUUACGCUGCUCACCCCCUUGGCUGCCGACCUGGGCGCCAGCUACCUCAUAGCCGUCAGGGUCCUGGAAGGCGUCGGGGAGGGUGUUACCUUCCCAGCCAUGUUCAGUAUGUGGGGAGCAUGGGCUCCGCCCCUGGAGAGGAGUCGUCUUCUUACCAGCUCCCAGAUCGGAAUCCUUAUCGGGACGGUGGUGUCGCUCCCGCUCUCAGGUGAAAUCUGCUUCUACCUGGACUGGACCUAUGUCUUCUACAUCUUUGGUGUAGUGGGCCUGUUGUGGUUCAUGCUGUGGGCAUUCCUGGCAUUUGACAGUCCAAACAGUCACCCGUGGAUCUCGGAGCAGGAGCGAAUCUACAUCACGAGCUCACUGAAGAAGGAGCUGUCGCCACUGGCCCAACGCAUUCCCUGGCGAGCCAUCGUGACGUCGCGCCCGCUGCUGGCCAUUGUGGUGGCUCACUUCUCGUACAACUGGACUUUCUACACCCUCCUCACCCUCCUGCCUACCUACAUGAAUGACGUCCUGGGCUUCAGCAUACAGCAGAACGGCUUGUUGUCGGCUCUGCCUUACCUGGGUUGCGCCAUGUUCACCUUGCUGAGCGGUCAGCUGGCCGACAACUUGCGGGAAAGGUGGCACUACCAAACCGUCACGGUCCGGAAAUUUUUCUCCGUCGUGGGUAUGAUCGGACCGGCCGUCUUCUUGGUGGCGACCGGUUACACAGGAUGCAACUACACUUUGGCGUUGACUUUCCUCACCGUCUCCUCUUCGCUGGGUGGACUGUCGUCGUCCGGCUUCAACAUCAACCAUUUGGACAUCGCCCCUUCGUACGCGGGGAUCCUGCAGGGCAUCACCAACUGCUUCGCUACCAUUCCUGGGAUGGUGGGACCAGUCAUUGCAAGAAGCCUCACUGUAAACAACACCAUCGAAGAAUGGCAGACGGUCUUCUACAUCGCGGCGGCCAUCAACAUCUUUGGCGCCACCUUUUACAGCAUCUUCGGUCAAGGCAACGUGCAGCCCUGGGCCAUCCACGCCGACUCCUACACCGCCCAAGACUAAGACCAAAGCACGCUUACGUAAGAAGAAAACAGAGUUCAGUCGAAUUUACUGUCUUAACAGUCAACUCCCACUUAUUGCAGGGGAUAAGUUCCAAACCCACCUUUUGAUGUCGUGGACGUGAACAACCGCAAUAUAAUGGGAUUUCACUUAACUACCGAAAGAGCUGGGAUAUUUUAUCAUUUGUUUUUAGCCAUUAUAUUGUUUUCUCUACCUUUCACACAAUUACGUGGGUGAAAACCUGCUUUUGAAGGGCUGUGUGAAGGAGUCUCGUCAUCUCCUAGAAUCUUCAUUUCUAGUCUGGUCACUUAUGGGAUCGCCAAUUGGCAGCUUGUUUCGCUUAGCCCCUUUCACAACAGCUGAUGGGCUUUAUCACUUUGUGCCUUUCAUACAGACACCUCAGUUUAUGAUUAUUUUUUUGGGCUGUGCCAAAAUCGUUUCCAGAUCUUGAUUUUUAUUUUAAAUAGUGGAUACUAAGAUGCAACUUUUUAGUGUUUUGCAAUUCUCAGGUGUGGCAUCAUGGAAUUAAAAGGGAUCACUCCGUUUUGGUUAAUAAUUUAAAGCGGGCGUUUUUUUUUAAAUACACAAAAGACAGAAGUUAGCUUUUAAAUACUUUAGUAUUAGAAAUGACAAGACGGUCCACUUUGCACAUUUGCCAGAUGUCACAUCUUGACCGAUUUUGUACUUGUGCCUUAAGCUUUUGAACAUGGUCGCACAAAAAAAGAAAAUAAUAAUAA